GCGCGGUUGGCGUAGUGGUCAGCGCGUCCACACUCGAUCUUUUCAUGUGGGUUGAAAUCCCCGCCGAACCAAGGUCAAAGACCGAUUCUGGGGGGCAAACAAAAAGUGUAGUGUUGUGGAAAACCCAGGUUCGAAUCCUGGACCGUGCA